AGGCUCUCGCGGGUUUCCCCUGCCAGGGAAUCCACUCGCUGUAGUUUUCUAGGGCUCUGGUCCCAGUCCUUUCUGAAGCGCGCUUGCAGGCUGUCUUCCUCAGUCGCCCUCUCCCUGGGUGCUGUUUUGCUGGGCAGCAUCCCAUGCUAGGCUCGGCAGACAUUCUGGCGGUUGGGUUCGGCCCUUACAGCGCUAACACCUGCAGAGUCGAGGCUCCUGCCAAAAGGCAGAAAGCAAAGGAGGAAAAAAUUCAUUGUCAUAAUAGCGAAAAUGAUAAACCUCAGCUGUUUAAGAGAAGAAUGUCUGAGUAGCUGUUGAUUAUCUCCCAUAAUCACAAAACAACUUUUUUUUAAAAAGAAUUUGCACUGUCUGUUAAAACGCGGUCAUUGUUUUGCUUUCAAAUCGAACUUCACGACAGUUAGCAACUUCAAGAACGCUUCCAAAUGGAUAAAUCUUUCCAGAAGGUUUUUCUGUGGACCUAAAUUUUCAUUUCUCUGGGAUAAAUGUCCAGGAGUGUGAUUGCUGGGUCAUAUGGUGUCACAUGCCAUUCUUCUGAUUUUCAUGAAUAUCCUCUAAAAGGCAGCUAAGCACUCGCUGUCUUCUUCCUUUUGCCUCAUCAAGCACGGGGGACGCUGGAAGGAAGAGGCAUCAACAGUGAGAACUGGGCAAAGCACAUGAGAUGUCUAAGAUCUGCCAGGAAAAGGACCAUGAAGGACUUGCCUGUGGUCAAGAAUCUACAUCUCAGUAUUUGUACAGUUGAGCCGAAAUGCCUGUUCUAACAAAGAGAGCCUGGUGUAUUCAGCUGGAACUCGUCAGCAUUUCAAGGGAAAGAAGUCACUCACUAAUUAAUGCUGGAGGUGGUGAGUGAAUGUGUGUGUGUGAGUGUACGUGCAUGUGUAGGAGGAUAUAGAAAUUAAGGGAGAGUAGGUUUUUACUUUAUUUAAUUCCCAUACUACUUUUCUCAGAUUUAUAUUUCUUUGUGAUUAAUUUUUCUCUGACACAGUAAUAAGAUCUGAGUUUUUUUCUCCAAUCCCAUGUUUAUUUAUUUGAUUUAGAGACAACACAGCAAGUCCUGCUUUGUUCUUCUGUCAUCUUAGUUGUAGGUCUAUUGGAUCUUUGAUCAAUUUAGUCUUUUUUAUAUUGGGUUUUCUCCAGAUAUUAUAAAUUGUAGCAGGUCAUUUGGAAUUAAUAUAGUUUAUCACCUCAGUAGGUUCUAAAUUAAGUUUCUUUAAUAGUGCACAGGAAGUGUUUAUGACCUUUAGAAUGGGUCAAUGAUUACAGGUUUUAAGAGGUUCAGAAAGUCCAAGGAGACCUUCCCCUCAAACUAUUCUGCUUAGAAAGGGAAGGGUCACCAGCCAGACCAGCAACAAAAUUCCAAACAAAACAAAACAAACAUACAAGAAAAAAACCCUCAGUGUU
rnacentral:lncRNA from 1 species